rnacentral:rRNA from 1 species
CAGCCGCCACGGGAAUACGUAGGUGGCAAGCGUUGUCCGGAAUUAUUGGGCGUAAAGCGCGCGCAGGCGGAUAGGUCAGUCUGUCUUAAAAGUUCGGGGCUUAACCCCGUGAUGAGAUGGAAACUGCCAAUCUAGAGUAUCGGAGAGGAAAGUGGAAUUCCUAGUGUAGCGGUGAAAUGCGUAGAUAUUAGGAAGAACACCAGUGGCGAAGGUGACUUUCUGGACGAAAACUGACGCUGAGGCGCGAAAGCCAGGGGAGCGAACGGGAUUAGAUACCCCUGUAGUCCCUGUCUCUUAUACA